rnacentral:misc_RNA from 1 species
GGAAGGCUUACUAGAAGGUUUAAUCUUAUUUGACACAUAUAAGUGUUAAUCAUCAAAAUUCAAUACCUAAAGAGAUGAGAUAGUAAAAAAUAGUUGCAUUGUCUUUUAGGUGCACGGAAAAUUUUGCCAUCUAUUACAGUAAAUUGUGGUGCUGCAUCUCUGAUCAGCUUCAAUUUUUUUCCCAGAAUGUUGCAUUUGAACUGGUGGCU